rnacentral:rRNA from 1 species
UACGAAGGGGGCUAGCGUUGUUCGGAAUUACUGGGCGUAAAGCGUGCGCAGGCGGCUGCUCAAGUCAGGGGUGAAAGCCCAGAGCUCAACUCUGGAACUGCCUUUGAGACUGAGUGGCUUGAGUACGGGAGAGGUGAGUGGAAUUCCCAGUGUAGAGGUGAAAUUCGUAGAUAUUGGGAAGAACACCGGUGGCGAAGGCGGCUCACUGGCCCGAUACUGACGCUGAGGCACGAAAGCGUGGGGAGCAAACAGG